GGAGUGACUGGAGUCUGAGUCCAUGGUCCAAUAAUCACUCCUCCUACGCGGCUGCCUUCGCUUCUUCAUCCGAUUGGUGGUAUUCCAGGUAAACACUCUGUCCCCAUCAAAGUCCUGUUUGUCCCGUAAGAACUUAUCCCUUUUCUUUUCCUUGAUUUCUUUUUGGGUGUUGAUUAGCUUAGUGUCCAGGCGUCUUUCAAAAUCACUAUACUGUUUUUCUGUUAGACGGGUUGACAGUUCCGCUUUUGCCUUACUUAAUUCCAGUUUUACGGAGUGAUAUUCUCUUUCAUUUCUUUUUAAGACCAUGUCUUGAAUUUUUAGUGAGAACUUUAAGUGUGCAUUGCGCCACUCCAAGGCAAAAUCCGCGUCCUCCUGGUAUUGUGACAUGUCCUUAUAUAUCCUGAGCCCUCUUGGGACCCGUCUGCUCUCUGCUCACCACUGCAAAUAAAGAAGAUUUGAUUCAGCGCAAAGAAGGGGCUCCUACAAUAUAGGAUCCGCUCAGUGGAUAUCUUCUAUAUAAGAUCCUUCUCCUGAUUGACCCGACAAGGAUGGACAGGGACAAUAUGGCAGAGAGUAUAAUAAAUCUCACCCUAGAGAUCCUCUUCCGGCUUACUGGAGAGGACUACACAGUAGUGAAGAAGACCUCUAGUGAGCGCUGUCAGGCCCCUGUGUCUGAAGG